rnacentral:tRNA from 8 species
GGGUCGUUGCCCGAGUGGUUAAUGGGGGCGGACUGUAAAUCCGCUGGCUACGCCUACGUUGGUUCGAAUCCAACACGGCCCACCA